rnacentral:rRNA from 1 species
CAUUCAAAAUGUGACCAAAAGAGCAAAUGUGGGCAUAGCCCGGCCAUAGGCUAUGUCUGGUCUCCGGCAGCAAAAAGGGGGUGGAGCGGAGAGCGAGCUCUAGAUCUAGCUCAACGCGGCGGCCCUCCGCGGCCGCGACCACAGGUGCUCCUCCAGUUCGCUGCCGCAAGCGCUGCCGCUGCACCACUCCGCGUCUUCUGCCACCGGUGCUGCCCCAAAUCUGCGCGGCUGCUGCCGCUGAGCAAGGACCGGUGCUGCCACUGCCGCUGAGCAAGGACCGGUGCUGCCACUGCCGCUGAGCGAGGACCGGCGCUGCCGCUGCGACCGGCCGUCAGCACUGGACUGGCACUGCCGCUUGGCGAGUAGGAGGAGGCGAGGCGGUUCUUGACAAUUCUCACUAAACCUCCUAAGUUCUAAGACACUUCGAGAAAACUGUAAAUUUCGAGUCUUGACUUCAAUGUAACAGUAUCCAAGUUAUACUGCGUUUUAUCCCGAUUCACCUGUCGUUCCAUACUCUUUCCAGAGCACCUCCAUGAAUGUCUCAUGUUAGAUAGAGUAAUGGCACCAGUUUUACCCACCUGAUGGCUUCCUACCUUAGUUCAACAGUUCCUUGACUUGUUAAAUAUAGGUCUCCGUUCCAAAUGGUUCCUAGUCCAAGUUCUAUUCCUUCGAGUCAACUUUUUCGUGAUGUUUUUAUAGUUCAACUAUCAGUUGGCGAGACCUUAUAGUACCUUACUAUAACGUACACACUAGUUGUGGUGCGGACUUUUUACCCUUCUCUAGUAACGUCUCCUGGGUUUCGAGUUUUACAUACUUCCUUUCUCGAAAGGUAACAUGCUCCGUAACCCACACGAGAUACUUCCUGUGUAACGCGUUCCUUCUGUGACGGAGUGUAGUUCCUUCGGAGGCUAACCGUGUUUUUGUCCAUCGUUGAAACCUCGCUUCCUAUUCUACCAACGUUCGUGAUCGUUCUUUUUAUGUUCUGUACCUUCUCUACUGUUGCAUUCCUGAAGAAGUUAUUAACUGUAGUUACUAUGAGGAUGUAAUCUACUACACCUACUUUCUCUCUUGUGACAGUUACUGCUCCUUCUUAAUCCGUCACUUCUACGACUACCGCUAGUUGGUGUUUAUUCACUUAGUUCACGUUUUCCCUUUUUUUGAUUCUUUGUUUUUCCACGGUGUAGACAUGUCGCCGAACUUCUAAGGUACUACCGAAUACACUUAAAGUUCUUUCUAGUUCGAAGGUUCUUCCUUUUUCACAGUGUCGUUCCUUUUGUUGGGAGUUAAUGUCUUACGAACGUCCAGAACUUACUGUACCUACUACAAGGGCUGCUCCAGUUUUAGAAACGGAGACUACAAAAGUUCCUACGUCGUUUAGCACUCUAAAAGGACCCAAUGUUGAGUUCUAACGCCCCAUACACCGAUUUCUUCCUUCAGCUGUUCUAAUCAGGAGUCGGAGGAGGAAGAGCCAAAAGUAGACCGCUAUAAGGAAGUUAGUUAGACCACGAGACUAGUUUCCUACAGGAAAGUGUACUAAGAUACUAAUGGGCUCAGGUACUUCGUUAGUUAUUAUAAGGACUUUAUGAAAUACAGAUUCGCGUGUUACCAACUUGUUAACGGAGUUAUUUAAACCAAUACAUCGUACGCCUGCUCUGCUCUGUUCAUACGGAGCUAUUUAAACAUUAAAUUUGAUGACUGAAACUCGUGAUACUCAAUAGCCUUGAUACAAGUUUACCUACUAACGUUUUUAUAAUAGGUAAAAAACUACACCAACAUGACAAUAUAUUUAUUUUUUAAAUCGAGUAAAAUAUGUACACGUUAAACACACCUUCACGUCAGACACGAUAACUUUUAAGACAUGCACACAUAAUCUUUCAGACACGACAACUUUUCAAUAUGUAAACCCACGGUACGUAUAAACUUG